GAUGAACGCUGGCGGCGUGCCUAAUACAUGCAAGUCGAGCGAACAGACGAGGAGCUUGCUCCUCUGACGUUAGCGGCGGACGGGUGAGUAACACGUGGAUAACCUACCUAUAAGACUGGGAUAACUUCGGGAAACCGGAGCUAAUACCGGAUAAUAUAUUGAACCGCAUGGUUCAAUAGUGAAAGACGGUUUUGCUGUCACUUAUAGAUGGAUCCGCGCCGCAUUAGCUAGUUGGUAGGGUAACGGCUUACCAAGGCAACGAUGCGUAGCCGACCUGAGAGGGUGAUCGGCCACACUGGAACUGAGACACGGUCCAGACUCCUACGGGAGGCAGCAGUAGGGAAUCUUCCGCAAUGGGCGAAAGCUUGACGGAUCAACGCCGCGUGAGUGAUGAAGGUCUUCGGAUCGUAAAACUCUGUUAUUAGGGAAGAACAAAUGUGUAAGUAACUAUGCACGUCUUGACGGUACCUAAUCAGAAAGCCACGGCUAACUACGUG
rnacentral:rRNA from 1 species